ACUGAACGCUGGCGGCAGGCCUAACACAUGCAAGUCGAGCGGAUGAGAAGAGCUUGCUCUUCGAUUCAGCGGCGGACGGGUGAGUAAUGCCUAGGAAUCUGCCUGGUAGUGGGGGACAACGUUUCGAAAGGAACGCUAAUACCGCAUACGUCCUACGGGAGAAAGCAGGGGACCUUCGGGUCUUGCGCUAUCAGAUGAGCCUAGGUCGGAUUAGCUAGUUGGUGAGGUAAUGGCUCACCAAGGCGACGAUCCGCAACUGGUCUGAGAGGAUGAUCAGUCACACUGGAACUGAGACACGGUCCAGACUCCUACGGGAGGCAGCAGUGGGGAAUAUUGGACAAUGGGCGAAAGCCUGAUCCAGCCAUGCCGCGUGUGUGAAGAAGGUCUUCGGAUUGUAAAGCACUUUAAGUUGGGAGGAAGGGCAGUAAGUUAAUACCUUGCUGUUUUGACGUUACCGACAGAAUAAGCACCGGCUAACUCUGUGCCAGCAGCCGCCGUAAAAC
rnacentral:rRNA from 1 species